AGAGUUUGAUCAUGGCUCAGGACGAACGCUGGCGGCGUGCCUAAUACAUGCAAGUCGAACGAACUCUGGUAUUGAUUGGUGCUUGCAUCAUGAUUUACAUUUGAGUGAGUGGCGAACUGGUGAGUAACACGUGGGAAACCUGCCCAGAAGCGGGGGAUAACACCUGGAAACAGAUGCUAACACCGCAUAACAACUUGGACCGCAUGGUCCGAGUUUGAAAGAUGGCUUUGGCUAUCACUUUUGGAUGGUCCCGCGGCGUAUUAGCUAGAUGGUGGGGUAACGGCUCACCAUGGCAAUGAUACGUAGCCGACCUGAGAGGGUAAUCGGCCACAUUGGGACUGAGACACGGCCCAAACUCCUACGGGAGGCAGCAGUAGGGAAUCUUCCACAAUGGACGAAAGUCUGAUGGAGCAACGCCGCGUGAGUGAAGAAGGGUUUCGGCUCGUAAAACUCUGUUGUUAAAGAAGAACAUAUCUGAGAGUAACUGUUCAGGUAUUGACGGUAUUUAACCAGAAAGCCACGGCUAACUACGUGCCAGCAGCCGCGGUAAUACGUAGGUGGCAAGCGUUGUCCGGAUUUAUUGGGCGUAAAGCGAGCGCAGGCGGUUUUUUAAGUCUGAUGUGAAAGCCUUCGGCUCAACCGAAGAAGUGCAUCGGAAACUGGGAAACUUGAGUGCAGAAGAGGACAGUGGAACUCCAUGUGUAGCGGUGAAAUGCGUAGAUAUAUGGAAGAACACCAGUGGCGAAGGCGGCUGUCUGGUCUGUAACUGACGCUGAGGCUCGAAAGUAUGGGUAGCAAACAGGAUUAGAUACCCUGGUAGUCCAUACCGUAAACGAUGAAUGCUAAGUGUUGGAGGGUUUCCGCCCUUCAGUGCUGCAGCUAACGCAUUAAGCAUUCCGCCUGGGGAGUAC
rnacentral:rRNA from 1 species